rnacentral:snRNA from 1 species
GUGCUGGCUUCCUUAGCACAUAUACUAAAAUUGGAAUGAUACAGAGAAGAUGAGCGUGGCCCCUGAGCAAAGAUGACAGGCAAAUUCAUUAAGCAUUCCUGGAGACU